AGUGAACGCUGGCGGUAGGCUUAACACAUGCAAGUCGAACGGCAGCACAGUAAGAGCUUGCUCUUACGGGUGGCGAGUGGCGGACGGGUGAGGAAUACAUCGGACUCUACUUUUUCGUGGGGGAUAACGUAGGGAAACUUAAGCUAAUACCGCAUACGACCUACGGGUGAAAGCAGGGGAUCUUCGGACCUGGCGGGAGUGGAUGAGCCGAUGUCGGAUUAGCUAGUUGGUGGGGUAGAGGCCCACCAAGGCGACGAUGCGUAGCUGGUCUGAGAGGGUGACCGGCCACAUGGGGACUGAGAUACGGCCCAGACGCCUACGGGAGGCAGCAGUGGGGAAUAUUGCACGAUGGGCGGAAGCCUGAGGCAGCAACGCCGCGUGCGGGAUGACGGCCUGCGGGUUGUAAACCGCUUUCGCCUGUGACGAAGCGUGAGUGACGGUAAUGGGUAAAGAAGCACCGGCUAACUACGUG
rnacentral:rRNA from 1 species